rnacentral:rRNA from 1 species
CGUGUAGGCUGUUUUAUAAGUCUGAUGUGAAAGCCCUGGGCUCAACCUGGGAAGUGCAUUGGAUACUGUAAGACUUGAGUACGGGAGAGGGCAGUGGAAUUCCUAGUGUAGGAGUGAAAUCCGUAGAUAUUAGGAGGAACACCGGUGGCGAAGGCGGCUGCCUGGACCGAUACUGACGCUGAGACGCGAAAGCGUGGGGAGCAAACA